AAGCCUUUACCAUCGAAAUAUCUCGAAAUCUAAGAUAAAUAGGAAAAAGAAGUCUAUAAGUAUCCAAAUAUACUUUAACAACUUAACACACAUCUCCAUUACCUAGCAAAACAUCUAAAAAAUUUGCAGGAAGGAUAUUUCUACCGGUUCCAAAGAGCUAAUUGAUCCAAAAAACCAACACAGCAUUGAAAUAAAUAAUAGUGUGUAUAAAUACUGAGAAUGAAGAACCCAUACCUCAUGGAGCCCCUCCUAUAUGUAACCCUCUUCCGGACCUAUUUCCUUCCGGCGCCAUUACAUCUGGUUCCAUCCGGUCAAUGAUGAGCAUUGAACGCCCUGAUGCGUAUCCGAACGUUAUUCCACUAGGACUGGAGCCGUAGAAAAAUAAUUGUUACAUGUUCAGUUGACUUUUAAAGUUGGAAUUAAACGAAUCAACUUGUUUAAUCCAACAUCACUGUGGCUAUGAUUAUUUGUUUAAUCCUCAACUGUCUUUUUUAUCAAUCAUUUUUUAUCCUUUAAUUAUGAAGUGCCACCAAAAUAACAAGAUUAACUGGAUAAUCUAAUUAACAUCCAAUUAAUUAAAUAAUAAAUCAAUUAUUUUUAAAGUGUUUUUUAACUUCCAACAUGAAGCUUCACAAAAGAACAGUGUUUAGAGCCUUUAUGUGCUCAUCAAAUGUUUUAUUCACGAUAUCGGGAUUUGUUUUAAUGUCUUUAGGAGUUAUAUUGUUGAUCGACAGUGAUCGGAUAUUGAUGUCAAGAUUACUUGGUCCUGAUGAAUCUCAGCUAAAUCAACCUUUAUUUUAUUACCUGGCAUUUGGCUUUGUAGGAUUAGGAUUUAUUAUUGUUAUUACUGGACUAUUUGGAUGUUGGUUAUCAUGUUCAUCUCACUGUUGUGUUACUGGUUUGUACAUAACAGCUUUGAUACUUUUAUUGCUAAGUGAAUUCACAUUGUGUGCUGUGGCAGUGUUUUGGCCAGACUUGAUAGGCGUUGAUGUCCAUUCAACGCGUCUAGUUCGUGCUCUUCAACGCAAUUACGGCUUACCUGGUCGUGAGCAAUUUACUGCUGCCUUGGACCUGGCUCAAACAACCUAUUCAUGCUGUGGGAUCAAUGGAAGUAAUAAUUAUGGAACAUCUUGGUGGCGUUUGCAAGAAAUUGGACGACGUGAUUUAAUUGUACCACUUACCUGUUGUGUUCUUAAUAGUACAGGAAGUGACAGUUUUCUCAACCCUGUGGCCAAGGAUCUUGAAGCAUGCCAGGCACUUAAUCCAGCUAGGCAUCAGCAUGCUCGACAUACUCAGGGUUGCUUGGAACUUAUUGAAGAUUGGGUUCAAACACAGCUGUUGAUAUUAUUGACGAUUGGUUUGUCAUUGAUGUUCUUUGAGAUCUGCGUUCUCUCAUCGUCUUUGCUAGCAUGUAGAAAUAGGAAGAAAGCUUCGAAGAAGAAGAAUACAAGUGGAUUGUCAUCUUUUACUUCAACACAGGCAUUGACUCCUCAUUCACAGUUUACUGAUACUGAUUAUGACUUUGAAACUGGAUUGGAUAAAAAUCCACGUAUGAACAUCGCAACGAUCAGUAGGAAAGCAUGAAAAUGGCACGAGGGCAGCGAAAGGAGUGAAAUUCUGAAGAGUGUGAGUGAUAACAAUGGUGGAUCUAGUGUUGAUCAUUCUAAUAUAAUUUCUACAAGUCAACAAAAUUUGUCAAAACAUGUCAAACAGUCUAAAAGUCAAUAUUCUAUGGAUAAAAUACCACCAGAGCUUCAAGGAGACAAUCAGAGGAAUUCAUUCAUCAGAGACAAUUAUCGAUUUUCAUUCUCAAAAGCUGGAAAGGGAAAUAAAUCUGAUCAAGUCUCAGUCUUACAGAUAUCUACAUCUCCAUACCAUCAGCUUUGCUCACCUAAUUCAGAGUUUCACUCCACUAGUCGGAGGAUUAAAAGGAAUAAAUAUCACUUUAAAGGGAGUUUUCCUCAUACUAGAGACUCAAAAAAAUGUCGGAGUUCAAAUAUUGAUUAUCUAGAUCUCAUAACAUCUCCAUCAUUGGUAUCAAGGAGUGUCAGGAGUGUUAAUAGGUCAUCAAUAAAAGGUCAAACGUGUUCUAAAAAUGGUAAAGUGUCAAGUGAUGUUGUUAAACGGCUAGGAUCCAAUGGAUUAGUUGAUGGAAUUAACAGGACUAUCAUAAAACAUCAUUUGAAAAAUUCUUUCAAAGAUCCAGCACGAAAAUCAAUGAUCCUAGUGAAGUUGAUGAACGAAAAUAGCUCUAAAAGAAGAAAUAAUAAUCCUAAUUAUAAAAAAUGCAUCAACUGUUCAUCAAUGCCGAGUAGUAGUCAGUUAUCAUCAAACAGCACCAAGCAGCAUUCUCAGUCUUCUAGAAGAUUGGAGGAGGAUAAAACAUCUUCUGAAACUAAAAAGUCUUAUUUAGAUUUAACAAGACAUGAGAAAUCUGUAAAACGAGCUACACUUUAUGCUAGAAAUGACAGUAGUGAAGCAAUAAAUGCAUUGACUAGUCUUUGUUUAAAUCCCAUGGCAAGAAGUGAAAAUGCUUCUAACAUGAUAUGGUAGAUUUAAUAAUUAAUUUAUGAGUUUCGUUGCCCUCGAGCUUUUUUUUUUAUAUUCUUUUAUACUAUUAUGUCACUAUUAUUAUUGAAAUAAAUUUUUUACCUUCGUUUGAUGAGUUGGAAUUAUUUCCAGGUUGAAACAUCAGUAUUUAAAUCUACACAAGCUGUAUCUUGUGCUGGCUAUACACAUGACAUAGUAUUUAUUAGCAUCACAAAUUUUAGUUUUUGUCGAAUUAUUCCUGCUAAUGUAGAACAUCCAGCAUGUAAUUGGUAGGUCCAGGUUUGAUUCCAGGUCUCGACAACCAAAUAAAUGAAUAAAAAAUUAUUCUGGGCUGGUUGUGGAGUCAUUUACAUUGGCACUUUACUCCAAUUCUUCAAUAAAAAAAAUUAAAAUAAUAAAUGAACCAUAGAAGGCGCUCAAAGCAGCAAGCUUUGACCAGCACUCAAUUAAACACCCGUUAGAAACAUCUCUAUUUCAUGAACAAUAGUUAGAUUAUCCCAAUUACAUCAUUUAGCUGAGGUACAAAUUGAAUAUUGGCUGUUCAGUAUGACAUCAUUGCACCGAUAAAACCACUAGCACACUUGAGAGACCUAGAACUAAUCCUUUCCAAUAUUUACUGAUCAAAGUUAUAAUAAGUACUUUGAUAAAAUUUUCCACUGAUAGCAAUUAAAGUAAUAAUUAA
rnacentral:misc_RNA from 1 species